rnacentral:rRNA from 1 species
GACGAACGCUGGCGGCGUGCUUAACACAUGCAAGUCGAACGGAAAGGCCCUGCUUUUGUGGGGUGCUCGAGUGGCGAACGGGUGAGUAACACGUGAGUAACCUGCCCUUGACUUUGGGAUAACUUCAGGAAACUGGGGCUAAUACCGGAUAGGAGCUCCUGCUGCAUGGUGGGGGUUGGAAAGUUUCGGCGGUUGGGGAUGGACUCGCGGCUUAUCAGCUUGUUGGUGGGGUAGUGGCUUACCAAGGCUUGGACGGGUAGCCGGCCUGAGAGGGUGACCGGCCACAUUGGGACUGAGAUACGGCCCAGACUCGUACGGGAGGCAGCAGUGGGGAAUAUUGCACAAUGGGCGGAAGCCGGAUGCAGCAACGCCGCGUGCGGGAUGACGGCCUUCGGGGUGUAAACCGCUUUCGCCUGUGACGAAGCGUGAGUGACGGUAAUGGGUAAAGAAGCACCGGCUAACUACGUG